GCAGGCCAGCGGGAGGCUGCGGGAACCCUUGAAGACCUUCAGCAGAUGGGAGGGAAGCAGGAAGGAGGCAGGCUGCCCAGAAGGUGUCUUCACUGUAUCCUGAAACACCGGGGGAGGGGAGUUAGGGAAGGGCAGGGGUCUGGUGGAGGGAGCGGCAAAGGCCCCAACAGCUCCCCAGGACUGCUUAAGUACAACUUGCCCUGGACUCAGCCUGCCCCUCCGGAGGCCUCAGUCGUGUCACCUGUAGAAUGGGUUUUAGGGGAAGAUGAGGAAACUGAGACCCAGAGAGGGAGGUGACUCCAAGCCAAACAGCUGGGAAUGAGCAGUCUGGUCUCUCAGGUCAGGGGGGACCUGGCCUUCACAGAGAAGCAACGCAACUUGCCCAAAGGCCCUACAGCGACGAGGCAGUGCAGGCAGGAUCUGAACUCGGGCAGACUGAGUCCAGCCCAAGAUGGAUCUGACUCCUCAGUCAGUGGCGAAGAAGCGCGCGGCACACAGAAGAGCAGGGACGAGACUGAGGCCACCAGCUGAGAAGUGAACAAGUCUGGAUUCAAACCCAGGCCUCCAUGUCCCCAGGACCUGUAUUCCAGUCACUGGUAGGGUCCCCGGAAGGGACCAGGUUAUGGGCGUGGCUUCUCAAAGGGAAGAGCAUCCAAAUGGAAAGGCUGGAGAAGUCAAGCACUUCUCCCAACAUAUUAGGAAUCCUAUUUCUCUCCCCCGUCCAAAAGCCCUGGAUUCUCUUAACAGCAGCAAUUUUCAACCUGUGUGCCGCAAGAAUUUUUAAAACAUGAAAUACCUCACUGUUUAGUCAGGGCACUGGCCUCUAUUCCCUUAGAUAGUCAAA